rnacentral:rRNA from 1 species
UUAAGACGGAGCGAAGGUGCUUGCCCAUAUGACGUUAACGGCGGACGGGUGAGUAAUGCUUAGAGAAUCUGCCUAUUAGCGGGGGACAAUGUAUCAGAAAGGAACGCUAAUACCGCAUACGUACCUACGGGAGAAAGCAGGGUGAUACUUCGAGACCUAUGUCGCUAAUCAGAUGACGCCUAAGUCGGAUUAGCUAGUUGGUUGGCGGUAAAGGCCUACCAAGGCGACGAUCUGUACGACGGGUCUGAGAGGAUGAUCCUGACACACUGGUGACUGAGACACUGGCCCAGACUCCUACGUGGAAGGCAGCAAGUGGUGUGAAUAUUUGGACAAUGGGCUGAAAGCCUGAUACCAGACCAUGACCAGCGUGUGUGAAGAAGGACCUUUUAGGUUCGUAACAGCACUUUAAGCGAGGAGGAGGCUUCUUUUGGUUUAAAUACCCAAAGUAAGGGACAGUUACUCGCAGACAUAAGCACCGGACUAACUCUGUGCCAGCAGACCGCGGUACAUCCCAAGAGGGUGCAAGCGUUAACUCGGAAUUUCACUGGGCGUAAAGCGUGCGUAGGCGGCUAAUUACAGUCAACUGUGAAUCCCCGACACUUAAACUUUGGGAAUUUGCAUUUCGAUACUUGGUUUAGCUAGAGUAUUGGGGG